CCUACGGGAGGCAGCAGUGAGGAAUAUUGGUCAAUGGACGAGAGUCUGAACCAGCCAAGUAGCGUGAAGGAUGACUGCCCUAUGGGUUGUAAACUUCUUUUAUAUGGGAAUAAAGUGUUCCACGUGUGGGAUUUUGUAUGUACCAUAUGAAUAAGGAUCGGCUAACUCCGUGCCAGCAGCCGCGGUAAUACGGAGGAUCCGAGCGUUAUCCGGAUUUAUUGGGUUUAAAGGGAGCGUAGGUGGAUUGUUAAGUCAGUUGUGAAAGUUUGCGGCUCAACCGUAAAAUUGCAGUUGAUACUGGCAGUCUUGAGUACAGUAGAGGUGGGCGGAAUUCGUGGUGUAGCGGUGAAAUGCUUAGAUAUCACGAAGAACUCCGAUUGCGAAGGCAGUUCACUGGACUGCAACUGACACUGAGGCUCGAAAGUGUGGGUAUCAAACAGGAUUAGAUACCCCGGUAGUC
rnacentral:rRNA from 1 species